UACGUAGGGGGCAAGCGUUGUCCGGAAUUAUUGGGCGUAAAGAGCUCGUAGGCGGCCUGUUGCGUCCGCUGUGAAAGCCCGGGGCUUAACCCCGGGUCGGCAGUGGAUACGGGCAGGCUAGAGGUAGGUAGGGGAGAAUGGAAUUCCCGGUGUAGCGGUGAAAUGCGCAGAUAUCAGGAAGAACACCCGUGGCGAAGGCGGCUCUCUGGGACGGUACUGACGCUGAGACGCGAAAGCGUGGGGAGCGAACAGG
rnacentral:rRNA from 1 species